UUUUAGUUGCACUGCUGUGUUUUACUUGACCAUCUGCAUUUUUUUGGGAGGAAGGUGAUGUCUUAUGUAUUCCAUCCUUGAUUUACACCAAGUUGCCUGUGAUUCGUUUUGCUGUUUAUUUUGUGAAUUACUGGAAUGAGCAUAGGAUGCAAUGUUGCAUUCUGUGAUGCUCUCAUUCCAAAAUUAAUGGGCAACUUACCAGAAGUUGGUGUACUCAAGAAUUUAUAUUUGCUGUGAGGUAGCAUGGUCCAUCCAGUAUGUGACAAGGUCUGUUGAGGGUUUUAAAAAGAACAGCAGAUUUAUGAGCACUGCACGGAUGUUUGAUAUGCAGAGACAAGGUGAUGACUCUGAAAGGGUAAGGUGGAUUCAUGAUGGCUGUUGUCAUUCCCUGGACUUAGUUUGGUGCCAUCUGGAUGUAAGGUUAUCUCUGCCCAACUCCAGCCUGAUCAUGAUGCAACACAUGAUGUCAACCAAGGAGAUUGGGGCUUCUCCAGAUGACAUGCCCUCCAACCUCAAAGGAAAUGCUCAUUCCUGAUGUUCCUCAUCGCAGCUACAGCUGUUAGACUCGAAGGGCCUCCAACAUGAAUCCAUAUCAGCCAUAUUUGAAACGUAGUCCCAAAUGAGGGAAGCCGACUCAUUCCUUUCAACCUACCCUCUGCAACCUUGCCUGAUGAUGAACUGGUUUCCUCUCGUACCAGUAGAAAAUCCAGAGAGGCUUGGAACAGAACCCAUGACUGAUACUGAGGACAUCAGAAGGAGACAUUUUUCCUGAGUCAGGUGACCAAGCACCGCUCAUGGGAGCUAACCUACAACAGCAAUCUUUAUGGAGUGUGUUUAGAGUACAGCAGUGAGCUAUUCAUCACAAAAUGAAUUUGUGUCUGGACAUGUUUGAAAACUCACUCCGACCCUGCCGAGCUUAUCAUUCAGGUCUGAUUGUUACUGUGAUGACUGCAAUUGUUGUUUUUGUUCUACUGCUACAUUUCCUGAUCCCUGCUGAAACUGUAAGUACUGCUCAGUUUCUUAAAAGAAAAAUAAAAUGAUAGAUAAAAUCUAGACAGAAAUCAGCAGAUUGGCAUUCCAGUUUCAGUACAUUCCAUACCACUUUGAAUACAUAUGCUAAGACUCUAAAUGUUAGUAAUUGUUGGUUAUGUGGCCACACACCUACUGCCUAUGAUGGAGGUAUCCCAUUGUUUCCAGUACCUGUAAAAUGAAGUUGAUAUGGAGGCAGCUUUUUCAUCAGUGGUACUAGGUAAAAAUGCUUUGUGGCAUAAUCCAUCCAUCCUCAACUCCUUUUUCCCAUUUUGCGCAUGGGAUCAGGGUGUUACUUCAACAGUGACAAUCAUACCGAACCAAGAUUUUACACCACCAGGUGACUAGCCCUGCUGCAGUAGUUCAUCCAUACCACUCACUCGCACCUACGGCCAAGUUAGAGUGUCCA